rnacentral:piRNA from 1 species
UGGUACAGGUCUUGUUUUAGUUGGA